AACAAACUCUCCGAUGACGCACUUCCUUUUGACAGGAAAUUUGUGUUAAAGUUGAGCAAGUUGCUAGAACAAGAUUGCUGCGAUUUUAUCAGGGUUGACUGCCAAGAAAACUACAAUGGUUUCAGCAUAUGUGGAGCAGCUGAAUGAGAGAUACAGUGAAGAGCAGAAACACCUAAAUUUGGAGCUUUGCAACCUACAGCAGAGUUCAGAUAAUGGCAAAGAUGAGUUGGAGGCUUAUGUUGGAGUAGUAGAGAGACAGUUCCAGGAGGAUAUGUCAUCGCAUGCUAAAUUAAAUGAUCAAAUGGAAGGCAUCUUGCACCAAUAGUAGCCAUCUCACCUGCCAGCCUCAAACAUAGAGCAAUUGAAUCAGCUAUUCACUCUUGAAGUGCUUUUAUUUCCAUUAAUUGUUAUGAUGAAGAGGCACUGUCCAUUGCAGCUUGAAGAAAGGUGCCCACUCUGCAUCUUACUGGUCACAUACACAAUCAUCUUUGCAUGAUCUUUGUAAGAGAUCAAUCAUGGAGGCUGAUGAUUUUAUCGAAGAAAGAAGAAACAAAAAUGAAAAUAUUUUCCAAGAAAAGCUGAUGUCUUCUGCACAGAAUGAUGCAGAGUUUAAUGCCAUUACAUCUGAUGUGUUGACUUCUUCAAAGAAUUCCCUCUUAUUGGAUCAUGAAAUUAGAAAGAUGAUAGAAAGUGUCUCCACAACUUCCUCGGAUCAUCUGAAAUUGCUGAAUGAAAAACACAGUGAAGGUACAGAGUCUAUAA